CCAAACAAGAUAUGAAAAUGGGUACGAUCUGCUUCACGAUGACCGAUAUAACAAGUGGGUUCAAGAAGCACAACCCGAUAAGACAGUCAUUGCUCAAGCUCGUCAAGCUACCACACCUUUGAAAGUACGGUUCCUUCCUGCAAUACUAGAAGCUUCCAAGAUCCGCCAAACUCCCAAAAGCAAAGUGCUGACAAGUGAAGAGAAUCUAACAGAACUCCAAAAGAAGAUACAGAAGAAAGAGAAAGAAACUAGAGAGAAGCAGCAAAGACGAGAAGAGAGAGAAGAAGAAAGCUAGAGAGAAAAAGGAGAAAUCAGCAAAACAACAAACAAUGCAAGAAGAAGCACUAUCUACACCUGUGCCAACCACCAAACCAAAGCCACCAAAACCAAACCAUCUGAGAAAUCCUUAAUCUGUUCAUCAGCAGUGUAAGAGCAUGGCACAUGGCAAACAAAGGAAAAAGAGAGGAGGAAGACUAGACCCAGCACUGUCGAUAUGUGAGCUAGGCAUAUGCAACCAUCCCAAAUCAGAAGACUGGAUCAUUUGCUACAACUGCCACCAUGCCUGGCACAGUGAU